CGGAUGUGUCGUCCCCCCCGCACGCCCCCACGCCCGGUGACGGUCCCCAGCUUCCUAGGAGGGGGGAAUGGAAAGUGCGGCCCCGGCUCCUGGGGUCACUUAAAGGAGAAGAUCAUCUCUAGUAUCUGGCCUACCGAUGAGGAAAAAAAAGUAGUCAUGCAAAACUGUCAAAACACCACCAAAAAGCAUAUAUCAUUUGAAUGAGACAGCAAACAAAGCUGCUUACCUUUUCUACACAGUCGCUUGGCCUUGAACAAUCUGGGAAUGAAUGGCUCUGUUGCUGAGUUACUUGAUGUGCAAGUUUUGGAAACUGAUGGACAUGUACAUCUAAUGUCUGGGCUCCUGCAAAUCAGCAGUAAAAUAAGUGGCAACGCUAAUCUCAGUGACAGAGAUCUCAGUAAAAGGGAGCGUUUCAACUCCUGCAAAUGGUACAAUUGGUGGUA